CAAAAGGGCUAUUUAUUGUGAAUUAUUGAAGUUUCGAAGCUCCGAAAUAAUUGAUUUUUGGAAGUUUAAAAUAUUUUUAUUUACAAAAAUGUUUUUUUCAUUUGGUUCCCUCAUUUAACACAUGACAAGUUGCUGAAAUUCAGAUUCAAGGUGUGCGUAGGAAUUAUUAUUAUAAAUAAUAAUAUUAUAUUAAAUUUUCUGCUUUGGUGUUCUAAGCAAUUUCCUAUAAAUAGGUGCUUAGGUUAGAAUUGAAAAUCACACCAGAAACUGAAGUUUUCUCUCUCUAUAUUAUCGAGCGUAUUCUUGUGAGUAUUUUG
rnacentral:lncRNA from 1 species